rnacentral:misc_RNA from 1 species
GAUGAAGAACGUAGCGAAAUGCGAUACUUGGUGUGAAUUGCAGAAUCCCGUGAACCAUCGAGUCUUUGAACGCAAGUUGCGCCCGAAGCCAUUAGGCCGAGGGCACGCCUGCCUGGGCGUCACACGUCGUUGCCCCCCCAUCUACUCCUUCGGGAUUGCGGGGGGCGGGUGAUGGCCUCCCGUGCGCCUCGUCGCGCGGUUGGCAUAAAUGCCAAGUCCUCGGCGACGCACGCCACGACAAUCGGUGGUUGCGAAACCUCGGUUGCCCGUCGUGUGCGGUCGUCGCGCAUCGAGGGCUCGAAAAAAUUGUCGGGCUCCGGCUCGGCUUUCAACGCGACCCCAGGUCAGGCGGGGUUACCCGCUGAAUUUAAGCAUAUCAAUAAGCGGAGGA